rnacentral:rRNA from 1 species
GACAGAGGUGCCGAGCGUUAGGCGGAAUCACUGGGCUUAAAGCGUGUGUAGGCGGGUGCCUAAGUACCUUGUGAAAUCCCACGGCUCAACCGUGGAACUGCUUGGUAUACUGGGUAUCUUGAGCCACUUAGGGGCAACCGGAACAAACGGUGGAGCGGUGAAAUGCGUAGAUAUCGGAAAGAACACCAACGGCGAAAGCACUCUGCUGGGCCGACACUGACACUGAGAGACGAAAGCUAGGGGAGCGAAUGGG